rnacentral:rRNA from 1 species
AACGAACGCUGGCGGCAUGCCUAACACAUGCCAGUCGAACGAGACCUUCGGGUCUAGUGGCGCACGGGUGAGUAACGCGUGGGAACCUGCCCUUAGGUUCGGAAUAACUCCCCGAAAGGGGUGCUAAUACCGGAUAAUGUCUUCGGACCAAAGAUUUAUCGCCUUUGGAUGGGCCCGCGUUGGAUUAGCUAGUUGGUAGGGUAAAAGCCUACCAAGGCGACGAUCCAUAGCUGGUCUGAGAGGAUGAUCAGCCACACUGAGACUGAGACACGGCCCAGACUCCUACGGGAGGCAGCAGUGGGGAAUAUUGGACAAUGGGCGAAAGCCUGAUCCAGCAAUGCCGCGUGAGUGAUGAAGGCCUUAGGGUUGUAAAGCUCUUUUACCCGGGAUGAUAAUGACAGUACCGGGAGAAUAAGCUCCGGCUAACUCCGUG